rnacentral:ncRNA from 1 species
GACGGGUUGAGAGAGCCUAAUACAACACCCAGUAAUGGGAAAUAAGCUCCGCUGUCUUUGAGCAGUAGUUGAAACCUGUCGCUCUAUG